AUGAACGCUGGCGGCGUGCUUAACACCUGCAAGUCGAACGGAAAGGCCCAAGCUUGCUUGGGUACUCGAGUGGCGAACGGGUGAGUAACACGUGGGUGAUCUGCCCUGCACUUCGGGAUAAGCCUGGGAAACUGGGUCUAAUACCGGAUAGGACCACUUCUUGGAUGUUGUGGUGGAAAGUUUUUUCGGUGUGGGAUGAGCUCGCGGCCUAUCAGCUUGUUGGUGGGGUAAUGGCCUACCAAGGCGUCGACGGGUAGCCGGCCUGAGAGGGUGUACGGCCACAUUGGGACUGAGAUACGGCCCAGACUCCUACGGGAGGCAGCAGUGGGGAAUAUUGCACAAUGGGCGCAAGCCUGAUGCAGCGACGCCGCGUGGGGGAUGACGGCCUUCGGGUUGUAAACUCCUUUCGCUAGGGACGAAGCGUUUUUGUGACGGUACCUGGAGAAGAAGCACCGGCUAACUACGUG
rnacentral:rRNA from 1 species